rnacentral:rRNA from 1 species
GGAAGGGGUGUAUUUAUUAGAUAAAAAACCAACGCCCUUCGGGGCUUCUUGGUGAUUCAUGAUAACUUCACGGAUCGCAUGGCCUUGCGCCGGCGACGGUUCAUUCAAAUUUCUGCCCUAUCAACUUUCGAUGGUAAGGUAUUGGCUUACCAUGGUUUCAACGGGUAACGGGGAAUUAGGGUUCGAUUCCGGAGAGGGAGCCUGAGAAACGGCUACCACAUCCAAGGAAGGCAGCAGGCGCGCAAAUUACCCAAUCCCGACACGGGGAGGUAGUGACAAUAAAUACUGAUACAGGGCUCUUUUGGGUCUUGUAAUUGGAAUGAGUACAAUUUAAACCUCUUAACGAGGAACAAUUGGAGGGCAAGUCUGGUGCCAGCAGCCGCGGUAAUUCCAGCUCCAAUAGCGUAUAUUAAAGUUGUUGCAGUUAAAAAGCUCGUAGUUGAAACUUGGGCCUGGCUGGCAGGUCCGCCUCACCGCGUGUACUUGUCCGGCCGGGCCUUUCCUUCUGGAGAACCUCAUGCCCUUCACUGGGUGUGCUGGGGAACCAGGACUUUUAC